UACGUAGGCGGUUUUUUAAGUCAGGUGUGAAAGCGUGAGGCUUAACCUCAUUAAGCACUUGAAACUGGAAGACUUGAGUGAAGGAGAGGAAAGUGGAAUUCCUAGUGUAGCGGUGAAAUGCGUAGAUAUUAGGAGGAAUACCGGUGGCGAAGGCGACUUUCUGGACUUUACUGACGCUCAGGUACGAAAGCGUGGGGAGCAAACA
rnacentral:rRNA from 1 species